rnacentral:lncRNA from 1 species
UUGUGACUGCCUUUACAGAUGGAGGCUGCGGUCUCCAACUUGGCGUGGAGCAGGGGGAUGAACAGGGGAUGCACUUCCUGGACGUGCAGGUCAUGUACGAGCCUCCAGUGGUCGGCGCGACUGUGUAUCGGGGGCCCACUAGUGUAGAGGUUCUCGUGCCUAUGUGGUCGAGGGAUGGACGGACAUAUAGGGGAGCGGCUGUUGGAUCGUAUGUUCAAGGAGCCUUGGCACAUUGCAGCUCGGAGCACCUCUUCAGCAUCGAGUUGGGUGGAAUGAGGGAGGUAGCAGGGGAACAUGGAUACACAGGAAGGGUAGUGCGUGCGAUUCUGGAGGAGGAGGGGCGAAGAGC